rnacentral:rRNA from 1 species
AGGUAAGCUACUAAGAGCGAAUGGUGGAUGCCUUGACUGGUAAAGGCGAUGAAGGACGUACUAGACUGCGAUAAGCUACGGGGAGCUGUCAAGAAGCUUUGAUCCGUAGAUUUCCGAAUGGGGCAACCCAAUGUAUAGAGAUAUACAUUACCUAUAUAGGAGCGAACGAGGGGAAUUGAAACAUCUUAGUACCCUCAGGAAAAGAAAUCAAUAGAGAUUGCGUCAGUAGCGGCGAGCGAAAGCGCAAGAGGGCAAACCCAGUGCUUGCACUGGGGGUUGUAGGACUGCAAUGUGCAAGAGGUAAGUUUAGCAGAACAUUCUGGAAAGUAUAACCAUAGAGGGUGAUAGUCCCGUAUGCGAAAAACAAACCUUAGCUAGCAGUAUCCUGAGUAGGGCGGGACACGAGGAAUCCUGUCUGAAUCCGGGUCGACCACGAUCCAACCCUAAAUACUAAUACCAGAUCGAUAGUGCACAAGUACCGUGAGGGAAAGGUGAAAAGAACUGAGGUGAUCAGAGUGAAAUAGAACCUGAAACCAUUUGCUUACAAUCAUUCAGAGCCCUAUGUAGCAAUACAGGGUGAUGGACUGCCUUUUGCAUAAUGAGCCUGCGAGUUGUGGUGUCUGGCAAGGUUAAGCAAACGCGAAGCCGUAGCGAAAGCGAGUCUGAAUAGGGCGCUUAGUCAGAUGCUGCAGACCCGAAACGAAGUGAUCUAUCCAUGAGCAAGUUGAAGCUAGUGUAAGAACUAGUGGAGGACUGAACCCAUAGGCGUUGAAAAGCCCCGGGAUGACUUGUGGAUAGGGGUGAAAGGCCAAUCAAACUUCGUGAUAGCUGGUUCUCUCCGAAAUAUAUUUAGGUAUAGCGUUGUGUCGUAAUAUAAGGGGGUAGAGCACUGAAUGGGCUAGGGCAUACACCAAUGUACCAAACCCUAUCAAACUCCGAAUACCUUAUAUGUAAUCACAGCAGUCAGGCGGCGAGUGAUAAAAUCCGUCGUCAAGAGGGAAACAACCCAGACUACCAGCUAAGGUCCCUAAAUCUUACUUAAGUGGAAAACGAUGUGAAGUUACUUAAACAACCAGGAGGUUGGCUUAGAAGCAGCCAUCCUUUAAAGAAAGCGUAAUAGCUCACUGGUCUAGUGAUUUUGCGCGGAAAAUAUAACGGGGCUAAAGUAAGUACCGAAGCUGUAGACUUGCACACAACUUAGAUUAUUUAAGUUUAGAAUAUGAGAAACUAAGUUAUAUGUUUAGUUAUAUUUUUACUGAUUUUUAUAGAGUAAAGAUAGAAAUAAAACUUAGUAAAAUCAGUAAAAAUAUUCUUAGACUAAAGUUAAGUAGUUUAAGUUGUGUGCAAGUGGUAGGAGAGCGUUCUAUUUGCGUCGAAGGUAUACCGGUAAGGAGUGCUGGAGCGAAUAGAAGUGAGCAUGCAGGCAUGAGUAGCGAUAAUUAAUGUGAGAAUCAUUAACGCCGUAAACCCAAGGUUUCCUACGCGAUGCUCGUCAUCGUAGGGUUAGUCGGGUCCUAAGUCGAGUCCGAAAGGGGUAGACGAUGGCAAAUUGGUUAAUAUUCCAAUACCAACAUUAGUGUGCGAUGGAAGGACGCUUAGGGCUAAGGGGGCUAGCGGAUGGAAGUGCUAGUCUAAGGUCGUAGGAGGUUAUACAGGCAAAUCCGUAUAACAAUACUCCGAGAACUGAAAGGCUUUUUGAAGUCUUCGGAUGGAUAGAAGAACCCCUGAUGCCGUCGAGCCAAGAAAAGUUUCUAAGUUUAGCUAAUGUUGCCCGUACCGUAAACCGACACAGGUGGGUGGGAUGAGUAUUCUAAGGCGCGUGGAAGAACUCUCUUUAAGGAACUCUGCAAAAUAGCACCGUAUCUUCGGUAUAAGGUGUGGUUAGCUUUGUAUUAGGAUUUACUCCGAAAGCAAGGAAACUUACAACAAAGAGUCCCUCCCGACUGUUUACCAAAAACACAGCACUCUGCUAACUCGUAAGAGGAUGUAUAGGGUGUGACGCCUGCCCGGUGCUCGAAGGUUAAUUGAUGGGGUUAGCAUUAGCGAAGCUCUUGAUCGAAGCCCGAGUAAACGGCGGCCGUAACUAUAACGGUCCUAAGGUAGCGAAAUUCCUUGUCGGUUAAAUAUCGACCUGCAUGAAUGGCGUAACGAGAUGGGAGCUGUCUCAAAGAGGGAUCCAGUGAAAUUGUAGUGGAGGUGAAAAUUCCUCCUACCCGCGGCAAGACGGAAAGACCCCGUGGACCUUUACUACAGCUUGACACUGCUACUUGGAUAAGAAUGUGCAGGAUAGGUGGGAGGCUUUGAGUAUAUGACGCCAGUUGUAUAUGAGCCAUUGUUGAGAUACCACUCUUUCUUAUUUGGGUAGCUAACCAGCUUGAGUUAUCCUCAAGUGGGACAAUGUCUGGUGGGUAGUUUGACUGGGGCGGUCGCCUCCCAAAUAAUAACGGAGGCUUACAAAGGUUGGCUCAGAACGGUUGGAAAUCGUUCGUAGAGUAUAAAGGUAUAAGCCAGCUUAACUGCAAGACAUACAAGUCAAGCAGAGACGAAAGUCGGUCUUAGUGAUCCGGUGGUUCUGUGUGGAAGGGCCAUCGCUCAAAGGAUAAAAGGUACCCCGGGGAUAACAGGCUGAUCUCCCCCAAGAGCUCACAUCGACGGGGAGGUUUGGCACCUCGAUGUCGGCUCAUCGCAUCCUGGGGCUGGAGCAGGUCCCAAGGGUAUGGCUGUUCGCCAUUUAAAGCGGUACGCGAGCUGGGUUCAGAACGUCGUGAGACAGUUCGGUCCCUAUCUGCCGUGGGCGUAAGAAGAUUGAAGAGAUUUGACCCUAGUACGAGAGGACCGGGUUGAACAAACCACUGGUGUAGCUGUUGUUCUGCCAAGAGCAUCGCAGCGUAGCUAAGUUUGGAAAGGAUAAACGCUGAAAGCAUCUAAGCGUGAAGCCAACUCUAAGAUGAAUCUUCUCUAAGCUCUCUAGAAGACUACUAGUUUGAUAGGCUGGGUGUGUAAUGGAUGAAAGUCCUUUAGCUGACCAGUACUAAUAGAGCGUUUGGCUUAUCUUU